GGAAUAUUGCACAAUGGGCGCAAGCCUGAUGCAGCCAUGCCGCGUGUAUGAAGAAGGCCUUCGGGUUGUAAAGUACUUUCAGCGGGGAGGAAGGGAGCGCGGUUAAUAACCGCGUUCAUUGACGUUACCCGCAGAAGAAGCACCGGCUAACUCCGUGCCAGCAGCCGCGGUAAUACGGAGGGUGCAAGCGUUAAUCGGAAUUACUGGGCGUAAAGCGCACGCAGGCGGUCUGUUAAGUCAGAUGUGAAAUCCCCGGGCUUAACCUGGGAACUGCAUUUGAAACUGGCAGGCUUGAGUCUUGUAGAGGGGGGUAGAAUUCCAGGUGUAGCGGUGAAAUGCGUAGAGAUCUGGAGGAAUACCGGUGGCGAAGGCGGCCCCCUGGACAAAGACUGACGCUCAGGUGCGAAAGCGUGGGGAGCAAACAGGAUUAGAUACCCGAG
rnacentral:rRNA from 1 species